rnacentral:rRNA from 1 species
UACGAAGGGGGCAAGCGUUGUUCGGAAUGACUGGGCGUAAAGGGCGCGUAGGCGGUUCGUUGCGUCAGAUGUGAAAGCCCCGGGCUCAACCUGGGAACUGCAUUUGAUACGGGCGAGCUUGAAUCCAAGAGAGGGUGGUGGAAUUCCCAGUGUAGAGGUGAAAUUCGUAGAUAUUGGGAAGAACACCAGUGGCGAAGGCGGCCACCUGGCUUGGUAUUGACGCUGAGGCGCGAAAGCGUGGGGAGCAAAC